GCCUCUGGGGUGUGGUGGUAGAGCACGCUUUCCAGAUAGGAUAAAACGCGGGUUCGGUUCCCGCCUGAGGCC